UUUGAUCAUGGCUCAGAUUGAACGCUGGCGGCAGGCCUAACACAUGCAAGUCGAACGGUAACAGGAAACAGCUUGCUGUUUCGCUGACGAGUGGCGGACGGGUGAGUAAUGUCUGGGAAACUGCCUGGUGGAGGGGGAUAACUACUGGAAACGGUAGCUAAUACCGCAUAACGUCGCAAGACCAAAGAGGGGGACCUUCGGGCCUCUUG
rnacentral:rRNA from 1 species